rnacentral:rRNA from 1 species
UACGUAGGGUGCGAGCGUUAAUCGGAGUUACUGGGCGUAAAGAGUGCGUAGGCGGUUCUUUGUGUCCGCUGUGAAAGCCCCGGGCUUAACCUGGGAAUGGCAGUGGAAACUAGAGAACUUGAAUCUGGCAGAGGGGGGUGGAAUGCCACGUGUAGCAGUGAAAUGCGUAGAUAUGUGGCGGAACACCGAUGGCGAAGGCAGCCCCCUGGGCUGAGAUUGACGCUCAGGCACGAAAGCGUGGGGAGCAAACAGG